AGUGAACGCUGGCGGUAGGCCUAACACAUGCAAGUCGAACGGCAGCACAGUAAGAGCUUGCUCUUACGGGUUGCGAAUGGCGUACGUGUGAGGAAUACAUCGGAAUCUACUUUUUCGUAGGGGAUAACGUAGGGAAACUUACGCUAAUACCGCAUACCACCUACGGGUGAAAGCAGGGGAUCUUCGGACCUUGCGCGAUUGAAUUAGCCGAUGUCGGAUUAGCUAGUUGGCGGGGUAAAGGCCCACCAAGGCGACGAUCCGUAGCUGGUCUGAGAGGAUGAUAAGCCACACUGGAACUGAGACACGGUCAAGACUCCUACGGGAGGCAGCAGUGGGGAAUAUUGGACAAUGGGCGCAAGCCUGAUACAGUCAUACCGAGUGGGUGAAGAAGGCCUUCGGGUUGUAAAGACGUUUUGUUGGGAAAGAAAAGCAGCAGGUUAAUACCACGCUGUUCUGACGGUAACCAAAGAAUAAGCACCGGCUAACUUCGUG
rnacentral:rRNA from 1 species